rnacentral:rRNA from 1 species
AGUGAACGCUGGCGGUAGGCCUAACACAUGCAAGUCGAACGGCAGCACAGUAAGAGCUUGCUCUUACGGGUGGCGAGUGGCGGACGGGUGAGGAAUACAUCGGAAUCUACUUUUUCGUGGGGGAUAACGUAGGGAAACUUACGCUAAUACCGCAUACGACCUACGGGUGAAAGCAGGGGAUCUUCGGACCUUGCGCGAUUGAAUGAGCCGAUGUCGGAUUAGCUAGUUGGCGGGGUAAAGGCCCACCAAGGCGACGAUCCGUAGCUGGUCUGAGAGGAUGAUCAGCCACACUGGAGCUGAAACACGGUCCAGACUCCUACGGGAGGCAGCAGUGGGGAAUAUUGGACAAUGGGCGCAAGCCUGAUCCAGCCAUACCGCGUGGGUGAAGAAGGCCUUCGGGUUGUAAAGCCCUUUUGUUGGGAAAGAAAAGCAGCAGGUUAAUACCCCGCUGUUCUGACGGUACCCAAAGAAUAAGCACCGGCUAACUUCGUG